rnacentral:piRNA from 1 species
UAGUCGCCUAUAUGAGAGCACCUCUCUUGCC